AUACGUAGGUGGCAAGCGUUGUCCGGAAUUAUUGGGCGUAAAGCGCGCGCAGGUGGUUCCUUAAGUCUGAUGUGAAAGCCCCCGGCUCAACCGGGGAGGGUCAUUGGAAACUGGGGAACUUGAGUGCAGAAGAGGAUAGUGGAAUUCCAAGUGUAGCGGUGAAAUGCGUAGUGAUGAGGAGGAACUCCAGUGGCGAAGGCGACUGUGUGGACUCUAACAUACACUGGGGCGCGAGAGCGUGGGGAGCAACCAGGAUUAGAAACCCUGGUAUUCCCCGCCGUAAACGAUGAGUGCUAAGUGUUGGGGGGUUUCCUCCCCUCAGUGCUGCAGCUAACGCAUUAAGCGCACCGCCCGGGGAGUACGGUCGCAAGACGGAAACUCAACGGAAUUGCCGUGG
rnacentral:rRNA from 1 species